AAGUCUUUUCUAAUUGUGUAAUAGUUUGUAUAUCUGUUAAUCAUAUGUUUAUCUAAUUUUAGAAAUAAGCAUUUAUUUAUGUAGCUAUUUUCUACUUGAAAACUACAUCGUUUUAGUAAUAUAUUUUCUACAGUAGCCAAAAUUGGAACUGGAAGAAGUCUGAGGUGCAUUAGAAUGUGAAUCUAGGACUUGCUAAAGGUAGAUAAACAGUUCAUCCUUGAUUUUUGUAAUUCAUAUGUGUGAUUAUAUGUCUUCUAAUGUAUUGCAUUAAAUAUGUCAAAAUGCAUUUUUCUGCAAAGGAGUAGGCUUAAUGUUAGAUAUACAGAAUGGAAAUUAAAAGCUGUGCAUGGUAUAGUACGGUAUAGCAAACAUGCAAAGCUACAACCACCAUCAUGAGAAUGUGGAUGUCACUGUCACAAGUAUUACAAAUACACACGCACACAACACACACACACACACACACACACACACACAGAGUCUACAGAAGUUAUAAGUAAUAUAGCCCUAAUUUCUAGGAAAUGUUUAUCAUUAGCAGAGGGAUUUGCAUUUACUGAUACUAGGUCAUGGUCAUAAGCUGCACACACAUAUAUGUAUAUCUACACAUUCACACACACAAACUCAUCCUCACACACUAUUUGUAGAUAGAGUUUAGCAUGUUAUUUGUUAAAAAUUCAGGAACAGAACUAUUUGGUGUUUAAAAUGUUAUCUCAAGGCCAGGAAGAAGCCUCUCUUUUUAAUCACAUUCGCUAUGAUUUACCCGUUGUCCGGUCUUUAUGUGAACAUUCUCUAUUAGCGUUUUUCCUUUUUAAUUUUUUCUUCAUUUAAAGAGACAGAGUUACUUUUAGGAGCUGAUGAUAUCCACCCCGUCCCAUGGUUUUUCUUACUGACUUUUUGGACUGCCAAUAAUGAAUAAUAAAGAUAAUUAUCUUCAUUCUCCCCAUUCAUUCUUCCCUGAAAUCAAAAACCCUUCCUUUAAAAGUACAAAGCAGAGAUGCAUUUCAAUGACAUACAGUUCUGCUCAGAGUCUUAAAAUGUUAUGUCAACUUCAGUUCUCUCUCAAAUGCUCAACUAGCAUAGAAGUUUAUUUCUCAAAGAACUAAGCAACUCUUCUCAAGACCAUCCAUGUGAUGGAUUACAAGAGGAUUACAGUUCACUCAAAGGUAAGCCUUUUUUCAUUUAUGUUCAAAUUAAGUCAGUGUUCAUAAGUAACUAGAAAAUGACUCACCUUCUCACGAAACUUUAUCAUUAGCAGGAGUAUACUUUAUAUUCAAUGCCAGAGGUCGUUUGCAGAUCCAUUCUUAACUAUGCCAAACCCCUUACAACGCAGGUGGAAGGAAAGUAUCAUGUGAAGAGAAAGAGGAAGAAAGCAAUGAGAGAAUGCCAGGCUUUCUGAGAUGGAUGGAAAUGAGACUGACUGUAACCACGUUCAGCUGCUGACAGUGUAAAAUUGAGCUGUAUGGUGGACAGAAGACAAGCAGUCAAGAGAAAUCCCCAAAGGUAAAAUUUGUUAUG